rnacentral:rRNA from 1 species
AUUGAACGCUAGCGGGAUGCCUUACACAUGCACGUCGAACGAGUGGCGGACGGGUGCGUAAUAUAUCGGAACGUGCCCAGUAGCGGGGGUUAACUACUCGAAAGAGUGGCUAAUACCGCCUACCAUCGAACCGGCCGAUAUCGGAUUUGCUAGUUGUGGGGGUAAAGGCUCACCAAGGUAACGAUCCGUAGCUGGCUUGAGAGGACGACCAGCCAAACUGGGACUGAGAAACGGCCCAGACUCCUACGGGAGGCAGCAGUGGGGAAUUGGGGACAAUGGGGGAAACCCUGAUCCAGCCAUCCCGCGUGUGUGAGAAGGCCUUCGGGUUGUAAAGUACUUUUGGCAGAGAAGCGGUAUCUGCAGAAUAAGCACCGGCUAACUACGUGCCAGCAGCCGCGGUAAUAC